rnacentral:rRNA from 1 species
UACGUAGGGUGCGAGCGUUGUUCGGAUUCAUUGGGCGUAAAGGGUGCGCAGGCGGCGAGGCAAGUCGGACGUGAAAUCUCGGGGCUUAACCCCGAAACUGCGUUCGAUACUGCCUUGCUUGAGGACUGGAGAGGAGACUGGAAUUCCUGGUGUAGCAGUGAAAUGCGUAGAUAUCAGGAGGAACGCCAAUGGCGAAGGCAAGUCUCUGGACAGUUCCUGACGCUCAUGCACGAAGGCCAGGGGAGCAAACGGG